rnacentral:misc_RNA from 1 species
GAAAUGCGAUACUUGGUGUGAAUUGCAGAAUCCCGUGAACCAUCGAGUCUUUGAACGCAAGUUGCGCCCGAGGCUUUUGGCCGAGGGCACGUCUGCCUGGGCGUCACGCAUCGCAACCCCCCACAACCACUACGGUAGUUGAGGGGAGGAGGAUGGUUUCCCGUGCCUCACCGGGCGCGGUUGGCCUAAAUAAGGAGCCUAAGGCAUCGGGUUGCCGCGGCGAUAGGUGGAGAACAAGGCCUCGGCCGUGGAAUCAACCGGUCGCGCAUCCCUUUGAAUAUAGAGCUCGCAGGACCCAUUGUUGUCGCCUUGUUGCGUCACAAACGUUGCGACCCCAGGUCAGGCGGGGCUACCCGCUGAAUUUAA